GUUUCAACCACUCCAGGGCUCGCAGUGACGUCGGAUGCUUCCUUUGCUGCCUUCCAGAACGUGCUGCAGAGCUAACCAAAUUGAAAUGGGCCCCCUCCAUCUUACACACGGCGUGUGCAGUGUUUAUCUCAGCCUUCUAUGUGCGUGGACCCCUCAAUGCAGCAGCCCAGUGAGACAACACCACCCCCAGUUUAUGGAUGAGGAAAUGGAGCAGAGAGAGCCUUAACCACCUCGGAGCAGAAGCACCAUGGGGCAACAUUGACAUAAACUGCAAGGCCCAGGGGCAUCCUUGGCCUAAAUCUACCCGGGAGUCCAUGGCUGAGGUUUCGGAGUAAGAAGAUGUGACCAUUGAGCCCUUUCAUGUACG